rnacentral:rRNA from 1 species
ACUUAAAUUGAAGAGUUUGAUCAUGGCUCAGAUUGAACGCUGGCGGCAGGCCUAACACAUGCAAGUCGAACGGUAACAGGAAGCAGCUUGCUGCUUCGCUGACGAGUGGCGGACGGGUGAGUAAUGUC